rnacentral:ncRNA from 2 species
GAUAAAAUAAUUUAAUAUGUUCAUAUAGUCGCAGAGAUAGGGUCUGCAAGUUUCUACCGGACUGCCGUAAAUGGUCCGACUAUGAGCGAAGUACCUAGCAAA